UCUCACCUGGCAAUUAAAGUGUAACUGUACUCAAUGAGUGUCACCUGGCAGGUAAAGUGUGACUGUAACUGUAAUCAAUGAGUGUCACCUGGCAGGUAAAGUGUGACUGUAACUGUACUCAAUGAGUGUCACCUGGCAGGUAAAGUGUGACUGUAACUCUACUCAAUAGGUCUCACCUGGCAAUUAAAGUGUAACUGUACUCAAUGAGUGUCACCUGGCAGGUAAAGUGUGACUGUAACUCUACUCAAUAGGUCUCACCUGGCAGGUAAAGUGUGACUGUAACUGUACUCAAUGAGUGUCACCUGGCAGGUAAAGUGUGAUUGUAACUCUACUCAAUAGGUCUCACCUGCCAGGUAAAGUGUGACUGUAACUAUACUCAAUAGGUCUCACCUGGCCAAUAAAGUGUAACUGUACUCAAUGAGUGUCACCUGGCAGGUAAAGUGUGACUGUAACUGUACUCAAUAGGUCUCACCUGGCAGGUAAAGUGUGAUUGUAACUCUACUCAAUAGGUGUCACCUGGCAGGUAAAGUGUGGCUGUAACUAUACUCAAUAGGUGUCACCUGGCAGGUAAAGUGUGGCUGUAACUAUACUCAAUGAGUGUCACCUGGCAGGUAAAGUGUGACUGUAACUAUACUCAAUAGGUGUCACCUGGCAGGUAAAGUGUGACUGUAACUGUACUCAAUAGGUGUCACCUGGCAGGUAAAGUGUGACUGUAACUAUACUCAAUAGGUGUCACCUGGCAGGUAAAGUGUGGCUGUAACUAUAGUCAAUAGGUCUCACCUGGCAGGUAAAGUGUGGCUGUAACUAUAGU